rnacentral:rRNA from 1 species
UACGGAGGGUGCAAGCGUUAUCCGGAUUCACUGGGUUUAAAGGGUGCGUAGGUGGGUUGGUAAGUCAGUGGUGAAAUCCCCGGGCUUAACUUGGGAACUGCCAUUGAUACUAUCAGUCUUGAAUACCGUGGAGGUCAGCGGAAUAUGUCAUGUAGCGGUGAAAUGCUUAGAUAUGACAUAGAACACCAAUUGCGAAGGCAGCUUACUACCCGAGUAUUGACACUGAGGCACGAAAGCGUGGGGAUCAAACAGG